UACGGGGGGGGCAAGCGUUGUUCGGAAUUACUGGGCGUAAAGGGCUCGUAGGCGGCCAACUAAGUCAGACGUGAAAUCCCUCGGCUUAACCGGGGAACUGCGUCUGAUACUGGAUGGCUUGAAUCCGGGAGAGGGAUGCGGAAUUCCAGGUGUAGCGGUGAAAUGCGUAGAUAUCUGAAGGAACACCGGUGGCGAAGGCGGCAUCCUGGACCGGCAUUGACGCUGAGGAGCGAAAGCCAGGGGAGCAAACGGG
rnacentral:rRNA from 1 species